CCUGAAAUCUAGCUCACCCUCCGCAUGAUAAGUAAACCCUCUAACCCACUACUGACAAAUAAAACAUUUUUAUAUUAUAGUACAGGAGAUGAAAAAAUUUCUAAACGCUUCAGAUAAAGUACCGCAAGGGAAUGAUGAAAUAAUAAUGAAAUAAAUUUAAAGCCUAAAACAGCAGAGACCCUCCCUCGUACCUUUUGUAUCAUGGUCUAGCCAGUCUAACCAAGCAAAAAGAAACUUUUAGUUUGACAUCCCGAAACUAAGCGAGCUACUUCAAGACAGCCCAUAGGGCCAACCCGUCUCUGUUGCAAAAGAGUGGGAAGAUCUUCAAGUAGAAGUGAUAUACCUACCGAGCUUAGAGAUAGCUGGUUGCUCAGAAAAAGAGUUUAAGCUCUACCUUAAGUUUCUUCUGUUAUACAAAACAAACUACUAAACUUAAGAGCUAUUCAAAUAAGGCACAGCUUAUUUGAACUAGGAUUCAACCUCAAAUACUGGGUAAAUAAGGGAUUUCUAAACAAAGUAGGCCUAGAAGCAGCCACCUUUUGAAUAGCGUUAAAGCUUAAUUGUUUUAUUUCCCAAAAUUCCGUAAACCCCUAAACAACCCUUCAUCACUACUGAGCCAUUUUAUAUACUUAUAAAAAUUAUGAUGCUAGAAAUAGUAACAAGAAACCGCCCUUCUCCAAAAUGCAAGUAUACACCAAAACGGACAACACAUUGAUAAUUAACGUAAAUGAACACAACAUAAUAACCUUCACUAGAAAACCCUAUGUACCUAAACGUUAACCUUACACCAGAGCAUUACCGGAAAGAUAAAAGAGAAAGAAGGAACUCGGCAAAUUUUAGCCCCGCCUGUUUACCAAAAACAUCGCCUCUUGCCUCCCAUAAGAGGUCCAGCCUGCCCGGUGACAAAGUUUAACGGCCGCGGUACCCUGACCGUGCGAAGGUAGCAUAAUCACUUGUUCUUUAAAUAGGGACUCGUAUCAACGGCAUCACGAGGGCUGUACUGUCUCCUUUCUCUAAUCAGUGAAACUGAUCUCCCCGUGAAGAAGCGGGGAUUUAACUAUAAGACGAGAAGACCCCAUGGAGCUUUAAGCCUAAUAUUUAGCCAACGCCAACAUACCCUCUAAGUUAUAAAGGCCCUAAAUACCCGCUUUAGGUUGGGGGGACCGCGGAGUAUAACCAAACCUCCACGAGUAAUGGGCCUCGCCCUUAUCCACGAACUACGCCUCUAAGAAUCAACAAACUGAUGUUUGAUGACCCGAAACAUUCGAUCAACGAACCAAGUUACCCUGGGGAUAACAGCGCAAUCCACUUCAAGAGUCCAUAUCGACAAGUGGGUUUACGACCUCGAUGUUGGAUCAGGGUAUCCUAGUGGUGCAGUCGCUAC
rnacentral:rRNA from 1 species